rnacentral:rRNA from 1 species
AGAGUUUGAUCAUGGCUCAGGACGAACGCUGGCGGCGUGCCUCAAACAUGCAAGUCGAGCGAAGUGAGACUGACCCGCAAGGGGAAGUCGAACUUAGCGGCGAACGGGUGAGUAACACGUGGGCAACCUGCCCUUAAGACUGGGAUAACGGCUCGAAAGGGUCGCUAAUACCGGAUAAUGUCGAGAUUUCGCAUGAAGUUUCGAAGAAAGGGGAAACCCGCUUUUGGAUGGACUCGCGUCCCAUCAGCUAGUUGGUAGGGUAACUGCCUACCAAGGCAACGACGGGUAGCCGGUCUGAGAGGAUGAACGGCCACACUGGGACUGAGAUACGGCCCAGACUCCUACGGGAGGCAGCAGUUGGGAAUCUUAGGCAAUGGACGGAAGUCUGACCUAGCGACGCCGCGUGAGGGAAGAAGGCCUUCGGGUCGUAAACCUCUGUCAUUGGGGACGAAGAAAGUGACGGUACCCAAGGAGGAAGCCCCUGCUAACUACGUGCCAGCAGCCGCGGUAAUACGUAGGGGGCUAGCGUUGUCCGGAGUUACUGGGCGUAAAGGGCGAGUAGGCGGCUUGUUAAGUCAGGUGUGAAAUUCCAAGGCUCAACCUUGGAACUGCGCUUGAAACUGGCAGGCUUGAGGGCAGGAGAGGGAAGUAGAAUCCCCGGUGUAGCGGUGAAAUGCGUAGAUAUCGGGGGGGAAUACCAGUGGCGAAGGCGGCUUCCUGGACUGUACCUGACGCUGA